GUCUACAGCCAUACCACCUUGAACAUGCCCAAUCUCAUCUGAUCUUGGAAGCUAAGCAGGGUUAGGCCUGGUUAGUACUUCGAUGGGAGACCACCUUGGAAUACCAGGUGCUGUAGGCA
rnacentral:rRNA from 1 species